UCUACCAUCUCCAAUCCCAAAAGACACGUUUCCCGCCGCAAUUCCCUCUUUGGUAUAUACUUUUCCCUCCACAUGUCCAUUCCACUUCCACGGACAAGUCAGCAAGCCUACACGCACACAGCCACAGCUCGCCUGCGACUGUUGCGCCACGGCUAAGGCCUGGUCGUCCAGGACGAGCGGCCUGCCGUCGGAUCGGGCCGCGCGUCUAACCGGCUCUUCCUCUUCUUCCUCGUCCCUUCCCCGGGUGCGUGUUGCGCGAUCGGCGCCAGGCGGACCUGGCGGGACUGCAUGCCUUGAUCCACCCGGGCCGCGUCCAGGGCUCUGCUCGAGGGCGGAGGCAGUGGCGUCUGUCGUGCGGGCACUAGGGGGCGGAUAUAAGUGAAUGGAGGAGGAGCUCAGAGAGGAAGUGGGCCAGCCGCAGGUCAGGGCCCUCUGCGACCCUCUGCCCUGCCUGUGCGCCGUGUUUCGCCCUCGGCCGCUUCAAGCCGCGGCAUGCCGUCAUACAGUGUGGUGCCACUUUACAUGGGAGUCUGGAGGACUCGGUGGUGCAACUCGAGGGUGCUCUCAUCGCGCUUCCCGCAUCUGCGCCGCAUCGGCCCACACGGUCGCAUGCAGGAGAUGCCGCAUGUUUCCCGAGCAUGCACGUUCUUUUUUUUUUCGGUGCGCCUGUGUGUGUGGGGGCGGGUGAUAGGUAUGGAUCUCGUCCUCCGACAUGUGUCGGAUCGUCGGCACGAUUCGUAGUGCGCUGCUGCAAAGGUGAUCAUCACGACGGCAAGCCUCCUCGGCACAGCGAUAGCCCAUACCUGUCCGCCGAUACCGAGGAGCCCGCCAGCGGUACCCGAGGGCAGGCUGCAGGGUCUUUGGCUUUCCCACACAGUGGGUGCUGGGCCGUGAGAUACCACCGGCGAGGUGGUGGGCGUCAUCAGGGGCCCUUUGCUGACUAGAAGCCGAAAAAACAAAAACGCUUUUUUUGUGUGCGAGGUUUGCUUUUCGCGUG
rnacentral:misc_RNA from 1 species